rfam:Lactobacillus hominis DSM 23910 = CRBIP 24.179, type strain:CRBIP 24.179, WGS project CAKE01000000 data, contig: 5
ACAAUAAUUUUGGGGUGCCAUUGGCUGAGAAUAUACCCAUUGAACCUGAUCUGACUAAUAUCAGCGAAGGGAAAAUGCUUUAUUUUUAG